GGUUCGGAUUCUGGCUCAGAUUGAACGCUGGCGGGAUGCUUUUACGAUGCAGCUGAAACGGCACGGACUUCGGUCUGGUGGCGAGUGGCGAACGGGUGAGUAAUGUAUCGAACGCCCAGUGGGGAUAACUACGCGAAAGCGUAGCCAAUACCGCAUACGCCCCUCGGGGGAAAGGGGGACCUUCGGGCCCCCGCACUAUUAGAGCGGCCGAUAUCGGAUUAGCUAGUUGGUGGGUAACGGCUCACCAAGGACGAUCCGUAGCUGGUUUGAGGAGGACGACCAGCCACACAGACUGAGGACACGGCCCAGACUCUACGGAGGCAGCAGUGAAUUUGGACAACGGGGGAAACCCUGAUCCAGCCAUCUCAUGUGCGCGAUGAAGGCCUUUGGUUGUAAAGCACUUUGGCAGGAAAGAAACGGCACGGAUAAUACCCCGUGCAACUGACGGUACCUGCAGAAUACACCGGCUAACCACGUGCCAGCAGCCGCGGUAAUACGUGGUGGGUGCAAGCGUUAAUCGGAAUUACUGGGCGUAAAGCGUGCGCAGGCGGUUCGAAAGAAAGAUGUAAAUCCCCAGAGCUUAACUUUGGAACUGCAUUUUUAAUCAAUGAGCUGAGGUGUCAGAGAGGUGGAAUUCGCGUGUAGCAGGAAUGCGUAGAUAUGCGGGAGGAACACCGAUGGCGAAGGCAGCCUCCUCUGAUAACACUGACGCUCAUGCACGAAAGCGUGGGGAGCAAACAGGAUUAGAUACCCUGGUAGUCCACGCCUAAACGAUGUCAACUAGCUGUUGGGGCCUUCGGGCUCGGUAGCGCAGCUAACGCGUGAAGUUGACCGCCUGGGGAGUACGGUCGCAAGAUUAAAACUCAAAGGAAUUGACGGGGGGACCUGCACAAGCGGUGGAUGAUGUGGAUUAAUUCGAUGCAACGCGAAAAACCUACCUACCCUUGACAUGUCUGGAAUCCCGAAGAGAUUUGGGAGUGCUCGCAAGAGAACCGGAACACAGGUGCCGUACGGCUGUCGUCAGCUUCUCAAAAAUGUGGAGAUGUUGGGUUAAGUCCUGCAACGAGCGCAACCCUUGUCAUUAGUUGCUACGAAAGGGCACUCUAAUGUGAGACUGCCGGUGACAAACCGAGGAAGGUGGAUGACGUCAAGUCCAUGGCCCUAUGGGUAGGGCUUCACACGUCAUACAAUGGUCGGGACAGAGGGUCGCCAACCUGGCGAGGGGGAGCCAAUCCCAGAAACCCGAUCGUAGUCCGGAUCGCAGUUCAACUCGACUGCGUGCAGAAGUCGGAAUCGCUAGUAAUCGCGGAUCAGCAUGUCGUCGCGGUGAAUACGUUCCCGUCUUGUACACACCGCCCGUCACACCAUGGGAGUGGGUUUUACCAGAAGUAGUUAGCCUAACCGUAAGGAGGGCGAUUACCACGGUAGGAUUCAUGACUGGGGUGAAGUCGUAACAAAGGUAA
rnacentral:rRNA from 1 species